rnacentral:rRNA from 1 species
CUACGCACUCUACGGGAGGCAGCAGUGGGGAAUAUUGCACAAUGGGCGCAAGCCUGAUGCAGCCAUGCCGCGUGUAUGAAGAAGGCCUUCGGGUUGUAAAGUACUUUCAGCAGUGAGGAAGGUGGGUAUGUUAAUAGCAUACUCAUUUGACGUUAGCUGCAGAAGAAGCACCGGCUAACUCCGUGCCAGCAGCCGCGGUAAUACGGAGGGUGCGAGCGUUAAUCGGAAUUACUGGGCGUAAAGCGCAUGCAGGUGGUUUGUUAAGUCAGAUGUGAAAGCCCGGGGCUCAACCUCGGAAUUGCAUUUGAAACUGGCAAACUAGAGUACUGUAGAGGGGGUAGAAUUUCAGGUGUAGCGGUGAAAUGCGUAGAGAUCUGAAGGAAUACCGGUGGCGAAGGCGGCCCCCUGGACAGAUACUGACACUCAGAUGCGAAAGCGUGGGGAGCAAACAGGAUUAGAUACCCUGGUAG